CAGCCGCCGCGGUAAUACGUAGGUGGCAAGCGUUGUCCGGAAUUAUUGGGCGUAAAGGGCUCGCAGGCGGUUUCUUAAGUCUGAUGUGAAAGCCCCCGGCUCAACCGGGGAGGGUCAUUGGAAACUGGGAAACUUGAGUGCAGAAGAGGAGAGUGGAAUUCCACGUGUAGCGGUGAAAUGCAUAGAGAUGUGGAGGAACACCAGUGGCGAAGGCGACUCUCUGGUCUGUAACUGACGCUGAGGAGCGAAAGCGUGGGGAGCGAACAGGAUUAGAUACCCCGGUAGUCCCUGUCUCUUAUAC
rnacentral:rRNA from 1 species